GACGAACGCUGGCGGCGUGCUUAACACAUGCAAGUCGAACGGAAGGGCCCUGCUUUUGUGGGGUGCUCGAGUGGCGAACGGGUGAGUAACACGUGAGUAACCUGCCCUUGACUUUGGGAUAACUUCAGGAAACUGGGGCUAAUACCGGAUAGGAGCUCCUGCUGCAUGGUGGGGGUUGGAAAGUUUCGGCGGUUGGGGAUGGACUCGCGGCUUAUCAGCUUGUUGGUGGGGUAGUGGCUUACCAAGGCUUUGACGGGUAGCCGGCCUGAGAGGGUGACCGGCCACAUUGGGACUGAGAUACGGCCCAGACUCCUACGGGAGGCAGCAGUGGGGAAUAUUGCACAAUGGGCGGAAGCCUGAUGCAGCAACGCCGCGUGCGGGAUGACGGCCUUCGGGUUGUAAACCGCUUUCGCCUGUGACGAAGCGUGAGUGACGGUAAUGGGGAAAGAAGCACCGGCUAACUACGU
rnacentral:rRNA from 1 species